rnacentral:rRNA from 1 species
AUUGAACGCUGGCGGCAGGCCUAACACAUGCAAGUCGAGCGAGCGGCGGACGGGUGAGUAAUGCCUGGGAAUUCCCCUGUCGAGGGGGAUCACAUUUGGAAACGACUGCUAAUACCGCAUACUUUUGGAUUGCCCAGGUGGGAUUAGCUAGUGGGGGGGGUAAUGGCUCACAAAGGCGACGAUCCCUAUCUGGUCUGAGAGGAGGAUCAGCCACACUGGAACUGAGACACGGUCCAGACUCCUACGGGAGGCAGCAGUGGGGAAUAUUGCACAAUGGGGGAAACCCUGAUGCAGCCAUGCCGCGUGUGUGAAGAAGGCCUUCGGGUUGUAAAGCACUGUCAGCGGGGAGGCGGUACUCGCAGAAGAAGCACCGGCUAACUCCGUGCCAGCAGCCGCGGUAAUUC